rnacentral:tRNA from 1 species
CGAGACGUGGCGCAGCCUGGUAGCGCACACCCUUGGGGUGGGUGGGGUCGCUGGUUCAAAUCCAGUCGUCUCGACCA